UAUUGUUCUUCACCGAGGACCCCCUAAUAAGUACAAGUCACUAGCUUGACUGAUUACGUCCCUGUUCCUUUGUACACACCGCCCGUCGCUACUACCGAUUGAAUGGCUUAUUUAAGCCUUCGGAUUGAGGCUCGGAAACUGUCAACAACUCUUGGUUUUGAAAGUUGGUCAAACUUGGUCAUUUAAGGAAGUAUAGUCGUAACAAGGUUCCUUAGUAACCUUCGGAUGAUAUUACCAUUUUUUAUCGGACUGAUUUUAUCUGGCCUGUGAAA
rnacentral:rRNA from 1 species